GAGGUCGUGGUGUAACGGCAGCAUCUCUGGUUUUUACCCAGAUGGGUGUGGGUUCAAAUCCUACCGGCCUCA
rnacentral:tRNA from 1 species